rnacentral:lncRNA from 1 species
GACCAAUGGGAUGGGAGCGGGGGCGGGGGCGGUGAGAGGACCCGCAAGGGCCCGGGAAAACUCCGCCCCGCAGCUCAACGCCCCUCUCACCUGCUGCCAGGUGAAGGGUGGAACCCCUGCUGCCAGGCUGAGCACUGGGAUUCCUCACUGGUCUCUUUUGCUGUCCGUAAGCCCGGGUGAUGCGUUCUCUGGAGGCCUUCAAGGUGCAGGAGGCCCAGCUAAGUGAAUUUUCCCUGGAGGCUCCAAGAGCAAAACUCUGGAUCGGAGGUUGUUUUCUCCCAGGAACAGGGAACUACUGCCCCCUGGAGGAUAAAAAGAAUCUCUCACUGCCCCGACUGGAAAAUCGGAAAGUCAUAGGAUUUACCUCAGAGAAUUACGAUGAGGAGUCUUACUCUGAGGUGGAAGCUGCCUUUGCCUUGGAGGAGAGCCCCGCUCCAUCAUUUG